rnacentral:rRNA from 1 species
GGAGUCUAGCAUGUGCGCGAGUCAUUGGGAUGCACUAGCUAAACCUAAAGGCGAAAUGAAAGUGAAGGCGCGCCUUGCGCGCGCCCAGGGAGGAUGGGCGACCGCCCUAACCGGCGGAGCGCCCCGCACUCCCGGGGCGUCUCGUUCUCAUCGCGAGAAGAGGCGCACCCAGAGCGUACACGCUGGGACCCGAAAGAUGGUGAACUAUGCCUGGUCAGGACGAAGUCAGGGGAAACCCUGAUGGAGGUCCGUAGCGAUUCUGACGUGCAAAUCGAUCGUCGGAACUGGGUAUAGGGGCGAAAGACUAAUCGAACCAUCUAGUAGCUGGUUCCCUCCGAAGUUUCCCUCAGGAUAGCUGGCGCUCGCAAAAUAACUUUGUGCGAGUCUCAUCCGGUAAAGCGAAUGAUUAGAGGCAUUGGGGUCGAAACGGCCUCAACCUAUUCUCAAACUUUAAAUGGGUGAGAUCUCCGGCUUGCUUGAACAACGCUGAAGCCGCGAGAUCGGAUCAGAGUGCCAAGUGGGCCACUUUUGGUAAGCAGAACUGGCGCUGUGGGAUGAACCAAACGCGGAGUUAAAGCGCCUAAAUCGACGCUUAUGGGAUACCAUGAAAGGCGUUGGUAACUUAAGACAGCAGGACGGUGGCCAUGGAA